AUAACCAAUUAGUAUUACCAAAUCAUGUCAAGGUGUCCGUGGAUCAUGUGAUUGUUGAGGGGGGAGAGACAUUUCUUCUACCAGUGCCCACUCAACAUUAUACACAUUUUGGAGAUGUCAUUGGAAGUUUUGUACAGUGGCCUAUACAUUUAGUUGGUAUAGGAGAGGAAGAGAUAGUGAUGAAGCCAAAAGUUAAAACAGGUAUGACUGUGGUGAGGAAUCGAGUACUAGACGAGCCAAUUUGGUUUAUGAUGAUACCUUACAGCCUUUGGGGUUGAGUGCAACCGGGUGCACAAUGUGCUUCUAUCAAUGUCUAUUGAUACUGACUACUUUGAAUUGGAAUUAGAUUCUAAUGUCUUUCACCAUACCAACGUGAGAAGUAUUUUUGUGAUGAUGGAUAAUAUUAAGGACUUGUUAACUAUGAAAUGGCUUGAUGUAUCCAUUAUACAAGUCUUUAUAAUGUAAGUUUGUAUAUUUAUUAAUUUGAAAAUGUUAAUUAAUUAUUAAUGUAUUACUUAAUAAUUUUUCAGGUAUCUUCACAGCAAUCAAUUUGGGACUGACUCAGUUGGAUUUGUGUGUCCAACACAGAUAGCAAAGGCCACUCUUGAUUUCAAUUUUAAUAUUGUCACUGCAUAUAUUGCAAAUGCUAUGGUCACAUCGAAGGACAAGACAUUAAUUUUAGCACCGUACCAUCAAUCGGCAUUCCGAUCAUAUAUGAAUCAACAAGUACAAAGAGCAAAAAAUCUUUUCUACUUUAAGCAUG